AAAUAACAAUAAAAAGAUACAUUGCCCUGGCAGCAAUAUGGGUGCGGCAUUAGUUUAGUCCAAUCUAGACUGUAAGACAGUAUGCAGGUUAUCUGUCGCUACGCUUUGUAGCUGUUAUCAGUUCGACUAGUUAGCCCGGUAGACGUUGUUCUGCCAUUUAAAAUAUCAAUAUUAAUUUCGAAGAGCAAUGGAGUGUACAUUAUUUGUUGUCAGUCCAACAUACAUAAAUAAGCUCGGUGGUUUGCGCAAACGGAAUCAUGCGAAAAACCUUAAAUUUCCAAAUCUAAGUCCCAAACUGACAUUGGGAUGUAUUUGAUUGACAUUGCGAAUGCCAAUCUAAAAGGAAAUGGAACGCGUUUGGAAAGAAUAUUAGCUGCUAAAUGUUUUGAAAAGACGGGGGGAAAGGCCUUCCCAUGGCAGGGUAAUUCAGAAGCUACUGCUCCGGAUCUCAGGAAUGGUGGGUACGUCGGAGGUAAUUGAAACCUCAGCUUGGUUUGCGUCUGUGUUGGAGGAAGAAUAUUGUUGGUAUAUGGUACGACCCGAGGGCUUGGGAAACACCCAGCCUUAUUUAAUAGGUCAUCCAGCUCGACGACAAUGCGCCUGGAUUUUGGGGAAUUCAAGUUAUUGUAGCCGCAGCGUGUAUCCACACGAUUGGGGUGGGUCAUUCGUGGUCUACACGGUUGAUGAGCCGCCCAUGAAGUAUAUUUACAAAAAUUUAUGUGCUUCGUUUGGCAAUACCGUAUUUUACAAUUAUCUACUGACGCCUGCAAUGAGGCACUCAAUAAAGCUUGCCGUCCUGGCAACUAGCAACUAGAGGUC
rnacentral:misc_RNA from 1 species